GCAUGUGGAGGUUCCCAGGCUAGGGGUUGAAUCGCAGCUGUAGCCACGGCCCUAUGCCACAGCCACAGCAACACCACAUCCAAGCCGCGUCUGCGACCUACACCAUAGCUCAGGGCAACGCCAGAUCCUUAACCCACUGAGGGAGGCUAUGGAUCGAACCUGUGUCCUCAUGGAUGCUAGUCAGAUUGGUUUCCGCUGAGCCACAGUGGGAACUCCCCAGCCACUCCUUCUGAGACACCAAGUCCACUGAGGCCUUGUGCUCUUUUUUUCCCCGGCACUGGGAGACCAUCACCCACCCAUUCCCUCUUAAAUGAGCCCUGGCACUCACAGAGGAUGUGCCAGCCCACCCCUGCCUCGGCCCAACCACCCUCACCCCAACGUGCCAAAGCAGUUGCUACAGGGGCACGGCCCAAGCCUCCAGAAGCCUGGCCAAGACUCCCAGGUGAGGCCCACUGAGUUGACCUGGACCCUGGCUCUCUGUAGGGACUCUUGGGGAGGAAGGGGGUCCCCACGGGGUCUGGGCAAGCCAGCCGCCACCUGCCUGCACCAGUGACAGUCACUGGCCUCCUUACUGCUGGAGGUGAGAGAUGUAGCAGCGUGGGGGUGCAGGGCAGAGCUGCAGAAGGGGUCCCUCCCCGGGGCGGUACUUCCAACCUCUGGGGGCACCACCCUCCUCUGCCCCAUCACCGAGGCGCACACCCGCUCUGCCCGGGCCCCUCUUGCCACCUGCCCGUUUUCAUGAGGCUUGGGACCUGGAGACCCCACCCCUGACGCCAGAACCAAUGAUUCCCUGCAGCCCCAGAAUCCCCUCCUACCCCUCAACUGGGAGAGCUGAGAGGAGCAGCCAAGCCUCCCCCAGACGGGGGGCUGGGUCUUCUCUGAGACCUGGGACACCCCACCCAGUGACUUGGGGGAGUGCCGGGAUCCCCCCUGCCCCCCAGAAGGAGGGUUCCUGAGGGUCCCGCCGGGAUUGGUUAGCCAGAGACACUGUGGGCCUGCAGGGGCCCUGGGGAGGCAGAGGUCGGGCCCCCAGCCCCGGGCCCGGCAGGUCGUCCCUGGGUGUGGCCCCUCCUGGGGGCACGGAGGGCAGGCUGACUUGUGUUCCAGGGUGCAUGCUCUCUUGGGGUGUGGAGGACCAAAGUGGGGUGAUGGCGUGCUGGCUGCCGUGUGUGGCCCUGCGCGGGAGCCAGCCUACUGACAGCCAGCGGGGCAGAGCAGGCUCACCCUGGGGCCGCCCCGGGCGGGGAACCACCCGGACCUGAGACCCACAGCCCUCUGGACCCUGAGCUCCCCCGGGUGCUCCAUCCCAUGUCCAGGGCCAGGAGCCCUGAGCACAGCAGGCAAGGAGUGGGGCCAGCUCCUCGGAGCGGGGGGUGGGUUGGGGUGGAGGUAAGGCUAGGGCUGCAGGUCCCGCCCCCCCCCCCAGCUGCAGCUCCUGGGGUCUCUCCAGCCUCCUGGGAGGAGCAGGUGGACGUGGAGCCUCACCCCACCUCCGAUCUCCACCUCCCACCCAGACGGCGGGUGGAGCCAGGCUCUGCAGGGCAGCUCUCCCUGAGAGUGAGCUGGGAGACCUGCAGAGACGUCUGAGGAUCUCAGCCGCCCCUGCGGAGUGGGGGGGCAGGCCUCUCGCUCCUGCCCAGGGUCAGAUCUUGGCACCAAGGAAACUUCUGGGGCCUAAUGGACCCGUGGAGGCGUCCCAUCCUUUUAAUUUUUUUCUUUUCUUUUCUUUUUAGGGCCACACCUGUGACAUAUGGAGGCUCCCAGGCUAGGGGUCGAAAUGGAAGUACAGUUGCCAGCCUACACCACAGCCAUAGCAACUCCAGAUCUGAGCUGCAUCUGUGACCUACACCAUAGCUCAUGGCCACGCUGGAUCCUUGACCCACUGAGGGAGGCCAGGAAUCAAACCUGCGUCCUCAUGGAUACUAGUUGGGUUCUUAACUCACUGGGCCAUGAUGAGAUCUCCAAGGGACCCCAUCCUUGAGCCUUCCACACCUCCCACUGGACUCCAGACCCCAGUCGGCCACUUGUCCUGCCCCAGGCCUGCCUGUGCUAGCCAGCACUGGCUGCCACCACCCUGGGGACAAGGUCGGGGCCAGCACAGGCCAGAUUGUUGAAGAGGUGAGUCUUGGGAUGGAUAUGGGGCUCCCUCUGCCCUGGAGUCCUGGCUCUUGAGCCCGCCCUCCUUAGGGACCUGGAGGCAGGACUGUCACAGCAGGGCCUCGCUCUCACACUACACCUGCAGGAGGUGCAGCAGCAGAAUCUUCCCUGAGGCCUAGAUCUGGGUGGGGAGGCCGCCUUUCCAGCCAGAGGGCAGUGAUGCCCAGGCCUCUCUCCCAGCAAGGCCCCCCCUUCCUCCUGCGGCCCCUGGGCUUUUCCUUGGAAUCGGCUCUGGCUUCCAGUAAAAUAAACACAUUAACCACUUGGCUGGCCCAGGCUGUAGGCAGAGGCAGAGCCAGCUGCAGAGGCCAGCGCCCGCCCAGCUCAGCCUGCUGCGCCUGCACUCCCCACCCGGGGCUGGUGCUGGCACGGCUCGGGGUGAGCAUGUGGGUGGGAUUGGGGUGCUGUGGGGGAGGAGAGUUUGGGGGGGACGGGGCAGGCUCUGGCCUGGGCCUGGUGGGUGACCACCUGGAGGCCCAGGCUGGCUGCCACCACUCCGGCCAAGGUCAGUCACGAGGGGGUCACCCCAGCUCCCUCCUCCUUAUCCCACAGCCGCCCCCCCUCGGGGGGGCAAGGAACAGCAGCCUGGCUGGGGUGGGGGGAGGCCCGGCGUCUCUCCAGAGGGCUGGGUGUCCUCGCACCGUGUGGCAGCCGCCCCCAGAGGGAUGAUUCAAAGCAGCCUCGGAGGCUCUGCCGACUGGUCCCGGAAAGCCAGCGCCGUCACCCCGGCUGCCUCCUGUGGGCACAGUCCUCCAUCCAGGCCCCACUCGAAAGGAAAACUGGCUCCACUUUGGGAAUGCCCUGGAGGACACAGACCCUGGACCCUGAGAGGAAGGGGAGGGGUGGCAGGUGCCAGACUAGGAUUGCUGUCUGGGCCACGACCCCCGGUCCCCUGGCAAGGGCACCGCUGGUCCUUCCUUCCACCCCAGCCCAGAAGUCUCCAGGCAGUGCCCCUUCCAGGUGGGUCUCGGCAGGGGGUGGACUUGACCAUCGAGCGGCCAGAGGGCUGUGCAGACCCUGCCCCCUCCCCUGCCAUGCACACCCCAGCUGCUCAGCCACGGUGCCCCCCUUUGCCUCUUCUCCUGGCCUGGCCCAGGCCCCUCACCGGGCCCUGGGGGUUCAGGUGUGGCAGUUCUGCCACUCGGCCCCUGAGAGCAGCCUGGGUGACAGAGUGUGCUGUGGUCAGCCUCAUUUUACCCAGCUGGUCCUGUUUCUGAAGGCGACGCCUGCAGUCCUGCUGCCUGCCGACCCCGAAGCGGGAAGCAGCGCCGGAGGGCGAAGCAAAGGCCACGUGCUUGCUUUUAGAAAAGUACCCGCGUGGCCUGGGAGCGACAGAGGCCCACGCCCCCGGGGGUCAGGUGGGGCGAUACUCCCUUUCUCCUUUGCACUUUUCUAGGCUUUCCCAGUGUUCCUGCAGGGAGUGUCUAUUUGUUGAGUCUUUGCCUUUUUUCCAGUUGAGGUUAUGUUCACAUAACACGCACUUAGUAUGUAAAGUGUGCAACUCAGUGGCGUCCGUGCACUCCCAGUAUUGUGCAAACACCAGCCCUCGCUCGUCUCAGAACUUCUUCACCACCCCGUAAAGACCCUCCCCGGAUCCGAGACGUCGUCGCGCCCCGUUUCUCGCUCCCGAAUCCUCCGGGAAUGGCUGACCCGCGCCGCCCCCGUGGACCCGCCUCGUCCGGGUCUGCCACGUGAAAAGCACCCGGGGAGGGGGGCCGGCGGCCUUUGAGUCUGGCUGCUUUCACGCUGCAGUGUCCUCAGGUCCACGCACGUUGCCUCUGCCCCUUCACUCCCUUUAGGGGUGAACGCCAACCCACAGUUGGAGGUCCAGUUCUCCGUGGACAAUGGGGUCAUUUCCCCCUUUUGGAGAUUGUCAGUAACGUGUCUAUGAACAGGAAAGGUUUUUAGUUU
rnacentral:lncRNA from 1 species